AAUAAGUGCAGUUUUAGCGCUAUUCAUGUUCAACGUUUGACUGUUCGUCUUAUUUAAAAAAAGAGGUAUUUUUAUUGUUAUUAGAUAAUAAAACAUGAAUAGUACUUUAUGUGUGACUAAUUUUUUUAAUAUUUUUCAUAAAUUUUUUAAAUAAGACGGAUGGUCAAAGCGCUAAACACGGAUAUUUAUGGCUGCAUUUAUU
rnacentral:pre_miRNA from 1 species